AUUGAGGGACAUUUUCUUGCAAAUCUUUGAGUCCUAUUUAUGAGAUUUUAUAGCGAAGAUAUAUUUCUAACAACUAUAUAAGCAUCUACCCUAAAACCCUUAUGAAACACUGCUUAUAGUCAUCUUUUUAAAUCUUGUGAUGUCAUUUUUUUGAUAGUUUAUCGCCUGUUAUGUGUUUUAUUUAUUUUUUUCAGUUGUUUGUUUCCCUCUGUAAUAUGUAUUGAGGGACAUUUUCUUGGAAAUCUUUGAGUCCUAUUUAUGAGAUUUUAUAGCGAAGAUAUGUUUAUAAUAACUAUAUAAGUAUCUACCCUAAAACCCUAAUGAAACGCUGCUUAUAUUCGUCUUUUUAAAUCUUGUGAUGUCGUCAUUUUUUUGAUAGUUUAUCACCUGUUAUCUGUUUUAUUUUAUUUUUUUCGAUUGUUUGCUUCCCUUUGUAUUGAGGGACUUUUUCAUGGAAAUCUUUAGUCCUAUUUAUAUGAUUUUAUAGCGAAGAUAUGUUUCUAACAACUAUAUAAGUAUCUAACCUAAAACCCUAACUGAUUAGCAGAAAAUAAAUGGUGACAUUUUUUUGUUUCUUUCCCUUUUAUUGUUUCCUCAUUUUCCCUAUUUCAAGUAAAAACACUACAUUUGUUGAGGGAAUAAGAAAACACUCAUUAAAUCAUAUCGAGUUUUUAAAUAUUUUCAGAGAAUCACAUUAAAUAUUUUCACCACCACGUUUUAGUAAGUACAGGGAUAUCCCCGUAAAAAAAAAAAAGAAAGAAAAAGUAGUGGGUUAAUUGCAUUCAAAAAAAAAGAAAAAGAAAAAGUAAAGGGUUAAUUUUCAUUCUUAUUCUAAUCCAGGAAUAUUCCCGUCAUAUCCCGUUUGGGGAUAAGCUAUUUCAGGAAUAUCCCCAUUAUAUCCCAUACAGGUUCAGUUGUUUUUGUAUCCGGUUCAGGUUUUUUUACAUGUCUGGACCGGGCUACCUAUCGUACUUAUUCCAACCAGGAAUAUCCAAUUCAACGGAUUUCCCGGUUGGGGGAUAUUCUAAGUAAGGACACCCCGGUUUGGUAUAUCCCAGUCCAAGGAUAUCCGGGUUUGGGGUCCAGGGGCUUGGGGCUUGGGUUUAUGGUUGGGCUGGUGUUUUUGGGCUUUUGUUUCCUUGUUUGGGGCUGUGGAUUUAAUAAAUCCAACAAGCCAACUCUAGGCCAUUCAUGAUUUUAAUCCAACAAACCGAAUGGACCGUCUCAAUGAGGGAAGAGACUAAGGAAGCCAUCCGCUAAGAAAUGAAGCUUCACUGUCCUUUGUUAUAGGGUUUAUGAAUAACCUCGAUUUCAAUCUCUCUUCUCCUGAUAUAUCUCCGGCAAUAAAACUCCACCGUUUCAUUCCAUCUCCGUUUGUUGGGUUUCGGCUCAGAUUGACUCCCGUCUUUUGGUUUGGCAUUAUGGGUCGAUCAUAGGAUGGUUGACUGAAUCGGUUUCCAAAUUGGGUUUUUGUUUUGUAUUGUAAGCAAUUGAGUGAAUUGGGAUUAUAAAUCCAUAAAUGGAUUUUGGAUUUCUUUGUCUUUGUUGUUUCAGAAAGUGAUUUGUUUGUAAUUUAUGCUUUUGGUUGGUUUAAAAUAACUAUUUUGGAGUGGCAUAGGGAUUGUUAUAGUUUAUUUUAAAUGAAAUAAAACACAGUUCAUCCUCA